rnacentral:piRNA from 1 species
UGAGCACCCAGGAAUCCUUGAUGAUGUC